AUGGGUGUGAUGGAAUUGGUAGACAUAUUAGAUUUAGGUUCUAAUGAUUAAGAUCGUGGGGGUUCAAGUCCCUCUACCCAUA
rnacentral:tRNA from 1 species